UAGGGAAUAUUGGACAAUGGGCGCAAGCCUGAUCCAGCCAUGCCGCGUGGAUGAUGAAGGCCCUAGGGUUGUAAAGUCCUUUUCGACGGGGAAGAUAAUGACGGUACCCGUAGAAGAAGCCCCGGCUAACUUCGUGCCAGCAGCCGCGGUAAUACGAAGGGGGCUAGCGUUGCUCGGAAUCACUGGGCGUAAAGCGCACGUAGGCGGACUCUUAAGUCGGUGGUGAAAUCCUGGAGCUCAACUCCAGAACUGCCUUCGAUACUGAGAGUCUCGAGUCCGAGAGAGGUGAGUGGAACUGCGAGUGUAGAGGUGAAAUUCGUAGAUAUUCGCAAGAACACCAGUGGCGAAGGCGGCUCACUGGCUCGGUACUGACGCUGAGGUGCGAAAGCGUGGGGAGCAAACAGGAUUAGAUACCCUCGUAGUCCCUGAGCGGGCUGGCAAGGCGCAU
rnacentral:rRNA from 1 species